AUGACAAAGGAAAGAGCAGUUAUCGUUACAGAUUGCGCGCAGUUAGUUGGUUUGGGAAGAAGUUCCGUUCCAACUCUGCAAAACCAAAAAAACGAUUUAUCUUUAUAUCACAAAUCUUCUUUAAUCUCUCCUCAUUUCAAUCCCUCCCGUUCCUCUCUCCGCUUCAUAUCUCCAUUUUCGUUUGCUAUUCAUUGUUGUUUUAAGGUUCUUUGA